GGCCCCGUGGCGGAACGGCAGACGCAGCGGACUUAAAAUCCGCAGCCCCUCACAGGGCGUGUGGGUUCGACUCCCACCGGGGCCA
rnacentral:tRNA from 1 species